AUGCAAGUCGAACGCUGAAGCACCAGCUUGCUGGUGUGGAUGAGUGGCGAACGGGUGAGUAAUACGUGAGUAACCUGCCCUUGACUCUGGGAUAAGCCCGGGAAACUGGGUCUAAUACUGGAUGCUACAUGUCACCGCAUGGUGGUGUGUGGAAAGGGUUUACUGGUCUUGGAUGGGCUCACGGCCUAUCAGCUUGUUGGUGAGGUAAUGGCUCACCAAGGCGACGACGGGUAGCCGGCCUGAGAGGGUGACCGGCCACACUGGGACUGAGACACGGCCCAGACUCCUACGGGAGGCAGCAGUGGGGAAUAUUGCACAAUGGGCGAAAGCCUGAUGCAGCGACGCCGCGUGAGGGAUGACGGCCUUCGGGUUGUAAACCUCUUUCAGCAGGGAAGAAGCCACAAGUGACGGUACCUGCAGAAGAAGCGCCGGCUAACUACGUGCCAGCAGCCGCGGUAAUACGUAGGGCGCAAGCGUUGUCCGGAAUUAUUGGGCGUAAAGAGCUCGUAGGCGGUUUGUCGCGUCUGCUGUGAAAGCCCGGGGCUUAACCCCGGGUGUGCAGUGGGUACGGGCAGACUAGAGUGCAGUAGGGGAGACUGGAAUUCCUGGUGUAGCGGUGGAAUGCGCAGAUAUCAGGAGGAACACCGAUGGCGAAGGCAGGUCUCUGGGCUGUUACUGACGCUGAGGAGCGAAAGCAUGGGGAGCGAACAGGAUUAGAUACCCUGGUAGUCCAUGCCGUAAACGUUGGGCACUAGGUGUGGGGGACAUUCCACGUUUUCCGCGCCGUAGCUAACGCAUUAAGUGCCCCGCCUGGGGAGUACGGCCGCAAGGCUAAAA
rnacentral:rRNA from 1 species